rnacentral:tRNA from 11 species
AUGGUAGGAUGCUGACCUUGGGAGGAGUAGACGCAGGUUCGAUCCCCGGUGGC